UACAGAGGGGGCAAGCGUUGUUCGGAAUUACUGGGCGUAAAGGGCGCGUAGGCGGCCUUCUAAGUCGAACGUGAAAUCCCCGGGCUCAACCCGGGAACUGCGUCCGAUACUGGAAGGCUUGAAUCCGGGAGAGGGAUGCGGAAUUCCAGGUGUAGCGGUGAAAUGCGUAGAUAUCUGGAGGAACACCGGUGGCGAAGGCGGCAUCCUGGACCGGCAUUGACGCUGACGGCGCGAAAGCCAGGGGAGCAAAGCGGG
rnacentral:rRNA from 1 species